rnacentral:tRNA from 1 species
GAUGUAUUAGGGCUUAUACGCCACUUUGGGGUAGUGGAGGUCGUGGGUUCGAAUCCCGCCGCUCC